rnacentral:rRNA from 1 species
UAUGAAGGGGGCUAGCGUUGCUCGGAAUUACUGGGCGUAAAGGGCGCGUAGGCGGAUGUUUAAGUCAGCGGUGAAAGCCCAGGGCUCAACCUUGGAACUGCCAUUGAUACUGGACAUCUUGAGUACGGGAGAGGUGAGUGGAACUCCGAGUGUAGAGGUGAAAUUCGUAGAUAUUCGGAAGAACACCAGUGGCGAAGGCGACUCACUGGCCCGUUACUGACGCUGAGGCGCGAAAGCGUGGGGAGCAAACAGG